rnacentral:rRNA from 1 species
GAUGAACGCUGGCGGCGUGCCUAAUACAUGCAAGUCGAGCGAACGGACGAGAAGCUUGCUUCUCUGAUGUUAGCGGCGGACGGGUGAGUAACACGUGGAUAACCUACCUAUAAGACUGGGAUAACUUCGGGAAACCGGAGCUAAUACCGGAUAAUAUUUUGAACCGCAUGGUUCAAAAGUGAAAGACGGUCUUGCUGUCACUUAUAGAUGGAUCCGCGCUGCAUUAGCUAGUUGGUAAGGUAACGGCUUACCAAGGCAACGAUGCAUAGCCGACCUGAGAGGGUGAUCGGCCACACUGGAACUGAGACACGGUCCAGACUCCUACGGGAGGCAGCAGUAGGGAAUCUUCCGCAAUGGGCGAAAGCCUGACGGAGCAACGCCGCGUGAGUGAUGAAGGUCUUCGGAUCGUAAAACUCUGUUAUUAGGGAAGAACAUAUGUGUAAGUAACUGUGCACAUCUUGACGGUACCUAAUCAGAAAGCCACGGCUAACUACGUGCCAGCAGCCGCGGUAAUACGUAGGUGGCAAGCGUUAUCCGGAAUUAUUGGGCGUAAAGCGCGCGUAGGCGGUUUUUUAAGUCUGAUGUGAAAGCCCACGGCUCAACCGUGGAGGGUCAUUGGAAACUGGAAAACUUGAGUGCAGAAGAGGAAAGUGGAAUUCCAUGUGUAGCGGUGAAAUGCGCAGAGAUAUGGAGGAACACCAGUGGCGAAGGCGACUUUCUGGUCUGUAACUGACGCUGAUGUGCGAAAGCGUGGGGAUCAAACAGGAUUAGAUACCCUGGUAGUCCACGCCGUAAACGAUGAGUGCUAAGUGUUAGGGGGUUUCCGCCCCUUAGUGCUGCAGCUAACGCAUUAAGCACUCCGCCUGGGGAGUACGACCGCAAGGUUGAAACUCAAAGGAAUUGACGGGGACCCGCACAAGCGGUGGAGCAUGUGGUUUAAUUCGAAGCAACGCGAAGAACCUUACCAAAUCUUGACAUCCUUUGACAACUCUAGAGAUAGAGCCUUCCCCUUCGGGGGACAAAGUGACAGGUGGUGCAUGGUUGUCGUCAGCUCGUGUCGUGAGAUGUUGGGUUAAGUCCCGCAACGAGCGCAACCCUUAAGCUUAGUUGCCAUCAUUAAGUUGGGCACUCUAAGUUGACUGCCGGUGACAAACCGGAGGAAGGUGGGGAUGACGUCAAAUCAUCAUGCCCCUUAUGAUUUGGGCUACACACGUGCUACAAUGGACAAUACAAAGGGCAGCGAAACCGCGAGGUCAAGCAAAUCCCAUAAAGUUGUUCUCAGUUCGGAUUGUAGUCUGCAACUCGACCACAUGAAGCUGGAAUCGCUAGUAAUCGUAGAUCAGCAUGCUACGGUGAAUACGUUCCCGGGUCU